rnacentral:rRNA from 1 species
UACAGAGGGGGCAAGCGUUGUUCGGAAUUACUGGGCGUAAAGGGCGCGUAGGCGGCCUUCUAAGUCAGACGUGAAAUCCCUCGGCUCAACCGGGGAACUGCGUCUGAGACUGGAAGGCUUGAAUCCGGGAGAGGGAUGUGGAAUUCCAGGUGUAGCGGUGAAAUGCGUAGAUAUCGAGAGGAACACCUGCGGCGAAGGCGGGUAGCUGGGCCGACACUGACGCUGAGGCGCGAAAGCCAGGGGAGCGAACGGG